CCUACGGGCGGUAGCAGUGAGGAAUAUUGGUCAAUGGACGAGAGUCUGAACCAGCCAAGUAGCGUGAAGGAUGACUGCCCUAUGGGUUGUAAACUUCUUUUAUAUGGGAAUAAAAUGUUCCACGUGUGGGAUUUUGUAUGUACCAUAUGAAUAAGGAUCGGCUAACUCCGUGCCAGCAGCCGCGGUAAUACGGAGGAUCCGAGCGUUAUCCGGAUUUAUUGGGUUUAAAGGGAGCGUAGGUGGAUUGUUAAGUCAGUUGUGAAAGUUUGCGGCUCAACCGUAAAAUUGCAGUUGAAACUGGCAGUCUUGAGUACAGUAGAGGUGGGCGGAAUUCGUGGUGUAGCGGUGAAAUGCUUAGAUAUCACGAAGAACUCCGAUUGCGAAGGCAGUUCACUGGACUGCAACUGACACUGAGGCUCGAAAGUGUGGGUAUCAAACAGGAUUAGAUACCCCAGUAGUC
rnacentral:rRNA from 1 species